AUGGCACAAGAGAAAUGUGAAAGCUUGAGAAAACUCAAAAAAAAAAACAAAGAUGCAAGAUCGGAAUUUGAGGAGGAGAGAGGUGUGCUUAGGGUUUUUGUGAGUAUUAGGGAUUUAUAUAGAGUGUAUGGAGUGAGUGUGGUAUCUAACCAUGGUCAGAAUUUGAGUGGAGGGCAAGUUUGGGAGUUUUGGCCAAAAAAAUGCAAGUUUUGA